GACGAACGCUGGCGGCGUGCUUAACACAUGCAAGUCGAACGAUGAAGCUAGAGCUUGCUCUGGUGAAUUAGUGGCGAACGGGUGAGUAACACGUGAGUAACCUGCCCCGAACUCUGGGAUAACCGCUGGAAACGGUAGCUAAUACUGGAUACGACCUACGAAGGCAUCUUCUGUAGGUGGAAAGAAUUUCGGUUCGGGAUGGACUCGCGGCCUAUCAGCUUGUUGGUGAGGUAAUGGCUCACCAAGGCGACGACGGGUAGCCGGCCUGAGAGGGUGACCGGCCACACUGGGACUGAGACACGGCCCAGACUCCUACGGGAGGCAGCAGUGGGGAAUAUUGGACAAUGGGCGCAAGCCUGAUCCAGCCAUGCCGCGUGAGGGAUGACGGCCUUCGGGUUGUAAACCUCUUUUAGUAGGGAAGAAGCGAAAGUGACGGUACCUGCAGAAAAAGCACCGGCUAACUACGUGCCAGCAGCCGCAGUAA
rnacentral:rRNA from 1 species